GACGAACGCUGGCGGCGUGCUUAACACAUGCAAGUCGAACGGAAAGGCCCUGCUUUUGUGGGGUGCUCGAGUGGCGAACGGGUGAGUAACACGUGAGUAACCUGCCCUUGACUUUGGGAUAACUUCAGGAAACUGGGGCUAAUACCGGAUAGGAGCUCCUGCUGCAUGGUGGGGGUUGGAAAGUUUCGGCGGUUGGGGCUGGACUCGCGGCUUAUCAGCUUGUUGGUGGGGUAGUGGCUUACCAAGGCUUUGACGGGUAGCCGGCCUGCGAGGGUGACCGGCCACAUUGGGACUGAGAUACGGCCCAGACUCCUACGGGAGGCAGCAGUGGGGAAUAUUGCACAAUGGGCGGAAGCCUGAUGCAGCAACGCCGCGUGCGGGAUGACGGCCUUCGGGUUGUAAACCGCUUUCGCCUGUGACGAAGCGUGAGUGACGGUAAUGGGUAAAGAAGCACCGGCUAACUACGUGCCAGCCGCCGCGGUAACAC
rnacentral:rRNA from 1 species